AUUCUACGCUGCUUGUUCAGCCGCGCGGUCGCCGAUGCGUAAAGACACGUCCUUCGACGUUAAUAACAACGAUAAUAAUAUCACAAUCGCAAAAAUGCCGAGAGAGAACUGCGUGGCAUCGUUUUCUGGAAUUUUACACGACACUCGAACAUCCACCGCGUUUUCAUUCUAAUCUUAUGGAUUUUUCUGCAAAGAACGCGCUAAUUAACGAAUGGCCGACGGUGUCGCCACCAAAGAAUGCUGUGGGAAUGAAACAGGGUGGCCAACAUAGGAUCGUAAAUGAGAUCAGAAAAAUCAGGUAUACCAAGAUAUUUGUCGACGUUUUGACGAUAGUUUGUUAUUCGAAAGUAACAAAGUUCUGAGGUUCCCAUUUCGAGCGCAUCGUAUGCAAAGAGGUACAAAGUGUGAAUAAUGAAAAGUAUUUUCCAAAGCGACGUGUGUGUUCCCGUGAGCGUGCGGAUUGUUUCGUAUUUCUCGUCACGAGUCUGACCGCGGGAAGAGACAAAAGAAAAAUGAAAAUGAAGGAAACGAAAGGAGCAAGUGGAACAAGACGAUUCACGACGGACAAACGACAAAAGAACUGAUGUAUUGUAGACAAGAAGAUAAGGGUAAGGAAUAAUAAAAAGAAAUAGAAGAAUCUAAUGCCGCUGGUGUAUACAGAGGACAGGAACACGACAGGACAGGCGGACAAAGAGUAAAAAGGAAGCUGGAAGCACGGAUACAAAGAAUGUUUUCAGAUAUUUUAUAUAUUUUAUAUAUUAUAUUUUUCUAUAAAAAUGGAAGCAUAUUUUUAAUCCUCGAUGUGAAAAUUAUGCUAAAAAAUUAAUUAGUAAUUUAUAACACGAUAAUUCGACAAGAAUUAUAUUUGAAAGAAUUAUGCACUGCUCCAUUAUCCACAUUAUCAAGAUCUAUGUUGUUGUACGGAAGAUGAAUUCCCUAUUCUAAAGGGUUAAUGUAUUCCGACCAUCACAAUGGCACAUAAACGUCACAUCAAACGGUCAGUGACAGGUCGGUAAGAACCGGCAGAGUCGCAAGGAACAAAGUAAUCCGGAGGUUGUCUGUUCGAAACAGAAGAAUUCACCUGACUGACUUCGUGACCCUUAAGUCAAGUCAUAGAGAGAGAGCAGACCCGGAUUUCCCAUUAGGCUAAUCAUCAAGCCACGGGCGCACGAUCUUGAAACAUAUAUCUAAUCUUCGUGAAUAUACGAUUAAGGCAAAAUUGCCAACAUUUUGGCCUUUGAAAUAAGUUCACGCUGCUGUUUCUAGAUGCUUUCCUAUCUAUUUUUAAUAAACAGAAAUUUAUAUUCAAAGCCAAUUAUCUUAUACACGUAUCGCUCCUAUUUAAUAUAUUCAAAAUUUCUAGUAACAGAUUAUCGUGAUGCAAAAAGGAGAGCAGGAAUAGUCGGAUCAGGAACAAAGACGAAUAAUCGCUUCUAAUAUAAUAAUAGCCGAUGCGUGCAUCGGCCUGCGGCUAUUUUUUUAUAUACUGUUCGGUCCGUCCUAACUUUAAACGCCGGAAGCAGGAGCAACGCGCUGGAACCCUAAUAGUUCGUUGAAAAAGAAGCCUAAGGCUUCGAUGAGCCUCUCGUAGGUCAAGAUUCUAAUAAAUCUCCGCAAAUAAUCUCGAAUGGCGAUAGUAACUCCCUCUACAUACUUCUAAUCCUUGACACUUUAACAAGAAACAAUAUAUCAAACGUUAUUACCCACGAUAAAUAUUCCUUACAUAAGAAGUGCCGUAAAUUAAAAUCUUCUGAACAAUUUGUUGUUAAUAAUAAACAAAACGAAAUGGAGGAAAUAAUUCUAAAGGUAUGAGGAGUAUUGAAAUAACAUCGUCUCGAAUGUUAACCUCAUUUUUGGAAAGAUUAUUUGGAAAUCGAAAAAACUACUUCUACAGGUUAGGAUGACGUGGUCAUGGGAGGUUAGCCGGAGGUUACUUCGAAGCUCAUCGACUCGCUAUUGGCAAAUCGCGACUUGGAAGAGCCAGCGGCGGCUUCGUGUCCCCUGGCAAGGAAAAGAAACCGAUAUUGAUGAAGGAAGAGAGGAGAACAACUUUCACGCGACCACGAGGCUUCUUCGUAUCGGAAUGCAUCCGUGCCCUGUGUGUCUCCCCGAGGGAAAGAAGAUCCCUUAGCCGUUUUAAUUGCAAAUUUCUCCUGCCUGAUCUUCUUGCAAAUUGUUCAACGGAACCAGUCAAACCAUUACCAUUAAGGGCUCCUGUGAUCAACACUGAAUUUCUAACGAAGAUCAUCUAUUCUUUGAAAAUAAUUUUUAUUUUUUUUUUCUUUUUUUUUAAGUUACAUAACAGUUUUUUUUUUGUUCGAUUCAGGUAUAAUGGUAGAUAUGGAUUGUACAUCGAAUGAAAAAGAGGUUAUGUUAAAGAGAUCUUUGUUGCAAAAGCCGACUCUUGAACGAGAUGUAAUGAACUUCAAUUAUGACGCUGCCGCGUUUCCAUGGGACUGAGACCGCGCAAUAAGCUUUGAAAGUAACUAGUAAAGAAGCCAAGUGAUUCAGUCGUUGAUAUUGUGCGCGGAGAUGCAGAAAACUUUAUGAUGCAAGAACAAAAAGUAUACAAAUCUUCUGAAGAAAGAUUAAUUAUUUAAAAUUUCACAAAAAAAAUUGCAUGUCGUAAAAUAUGAGAACGAUUAACUUAAUUAUUCUCCAAUUAUAUUUUGGCGUAAGUAAUAAGUAGGGAGAAGAUAAUUGUGACGAUUAUUCGACGUCAAAUUGAAUCGACAAGUUCAUGGUCACGGCAGCUCCACUGCCAUGAGCCCGAGAAAAGAGAAACAGGUACCGAAAACGGUACCGGACACGAACAGUGCAUACGGCAGGUGGAUGACGCAAGCGGGAUGACUUUACUCGUGGUUAUCCCUUCCCAAAAGUAAAAUUUCUUUCUCCCAGAGGGACUUUACAGCUGACAUCUCGUAUCUUUUUAUCUUCCAACUCCCUCAUUUGCCAGUCUCUGAUGUCAGCUUUCAAUAGACAGAUAUAUAUGUUGUACAACCAUACACCUUUACACACAAAUUAUUUUGCGUUUCAAUAUAUACAUUUAAAUUAAGAUGAUAUUACUUAUAUUUGCAAUGUUGUAACUUAAUCGUGAUUAGAUUACAUUUUUACAAUUAAUCGAUUUUACAUUUUAUUCUAUUGUCGUUGAUACAAGUAUCGUAAAUAAUUCAAGAUAAAAAUAUGAAAAAAAUACGAAAGCUGGAAAUCUAUUAAUAGAUUUUUCCAAGUCGGAUUAAGUCAGAUUAACAUCGAUGGCGACACACUGAUCGAAUAUCGCGCACCAUGUCUCCCAGAAUUUAUUGUUUCGCUAUCGAGCCGUCCACGAUCUACUUUGAUAAUUACGUACCGUGUAAAACGAUAUUAAAGGGAUAGCGUUUCACGAGCGUAGCAGGUGAUAAGUAGGUUGCUACCCCAUGAAUUUAUGCGAACUUCGUGAGCCACGUUCUUACUACGUUAUUAAUCGCGUGUACGUGUAUUGCGCUUGGUGAAUGAUCGAUCUGUCGGCCGAUCAUUGAUCACCAUAACCCAUCCGUUCGAUGAUACGAUUCGAGAAAUCAGGCCUCGUUCCGGUUUCUUUCAAUGUUCCCGCGGUAUCUGUUAUCGAUCACCUUGGCCAAUUACGUGUAUCGGCACAAUUUCUCGUUAAUGAUGGAUAUUGAUUUUCAAUAAACAAAAAACAAUGAAAAAUGCAAAAUAAAAUAAAAAAAAAUAAAUUACUUAUAUAAUUAUUAUACGAUAACACAUUUGCAAAAGAAAAAAUAGAAUAACGUGUAAUAAAUAAUUCUUUGAUUUUUCAUAUAUUUUCUCGCAAAUGUGACGACAUGGCUGUACACGUCAACCAACCAUACAGCAAGAAAAUCCCCAUGACCCAUAUGUUACUAUUCACUUAGAACCAAAUCUAUUUCUCGAUCACCCGGUAUAUAGAUAUGAUUAACCUUUCAGCGCCGUUAGCUCGUUCGGGUUGUGUAUUCGCUUCGAUCAAUGGUGCCACCGAGCGCAACACACGAAUCGCAGAAACGAACAUGGAAAAAUCACGGCGAUUAUUCCGAGGAUUAUGUUAGGUCGUUGACUCCGCGAGCUCUUCCGGUAAAUAUCCUUCCUGAUAGUGCCUGUGUGUAAUCGAUAGAAUAAUUCGACUGUGUGCUUCUCACGAUGGUAAAAUAUUCAUUCCCAUAGCAAUAAAAUGUCCGCGCGUAAUAAGAAAUAACAAUUUAAGGGACGAGUUUUGUGAAAGGGUUAGCUGCGAGCAGAUCGUUUUCAACAAGCUUUUCAAACCAGUAUUCAUUGGUUUUUUACUAUUUGGGAUACGAAUAAGAUACGUAAUCGCCUAUAUAGAAGUCGAUUAUCUAUAAACGUAAGAAAGUAAUUUCGCAAUGCAAUUAGAGUUGGAAAUAAUUAUGCGAGAAUUCAAAAUUGAAAUUGAACGUGUAACAGUUGAAUGAUAAUCGGAAAUAAGAAUUUAAAGCAAGCAAAAUGAAAGAAAAGUGGGGAAAAAAGAGGAAUAUCAAUCAACUUUAUGCAUUCUACGCAUAACCUCUACGAAAAUUAAUAAACAAUAUUUUACCACGAAGAGAAUAUCACGUACAUGUACAAUAGCAAACAUAUAUAUAUAUAUAUUAGCCGAAUACUUAACAGUGUUCUUCCCCUUGCUAUGAAACUGAAAAUUGCUUUUUAGCUUCUCUCUUCUUCCUUACAUUAGAUUUCAAACACGCUUCUUACGUAGCCUUCUGUCGUAAUAUCUACAAUCUGCGCGCAUUAAAAUGAUCUACAGGGAUACGUAGAACCAUACCUUACCGUUAUUUCAACUUUAACCGAAAUGUGUCACAGGCCCUUAUUCCCAGUCCCCUUAUUCAAUUACGUUAAUCCCGAUGCGCACUGUACAAACAUUUAUCGCACAGUGUAUUAAAUCCACAAUGGAAUCGUUAUCCUUAAACCCAUCACGGGCUAAAACAAGAUAAAUCGUGCGAUUUAUUUCAACGGGGGAUCAAGGGGUUAGCGUGUAUCACAGCCUCGAAACUCGAAGCUCGCGUAGGUGCAUCGUGCAAAGCGCCAAGCGCAGAUAUUUCAAUAGCGCAACCAGCGCGAACGAAUAUACACGGUCGUGUUGCCCACAGGCUUCGUUGCGGCACAGAAACCUUUCUCUCUCGUCUCCUCGAACGCAUCUACGUGCCACGGUAUCUAUCGUGUACAUGUAUAUGCGAUCAAGUGCGAUUAAUUGAUGCACGUAAUGACGCGUUUAAACGAUCGACGAGAUGCAUAGGAUAAUCAAUCUGACGCCUCGUUCGCUUCCUCGAUUCCUCAAAAAUAAUGAUGAUGACUACGUACGCUAUCCUCUUAAAUUGAUAAAUUAUCCAACUGGAUAAGAGAGAAAGCUUGUGCCAAGAUGGAAGCUGUGAGAUGAUCUGAAAUGAGUCUCUUUUCUUUGGAAGUCAAGAUGUAAUUAGAAACUUGGUUUGUUUAAAAAGUAUAAUGGUUAAUGAUGUGAUUUAUCUUGCAUGAUAUUUAAGAAAAAAGAAUUAUGAAAAAUAGCAAAAUUCUGGUAUCCUCUUAAACGAAUUGAUAAAUUAUCCAAUUUGAUAAGAGAAAUAAAACUUGUGCCAAGCUGAUCCAACAAGUCUUUUUUCUUUGGAAGUUAAGAUAUAAUUAGAAACUUGGUUCGUUUAAAAAGUAGAAUGAAAAAAAUUUUUUGAAAAAUAGUAAAAUUCUGGUAUCCUCUUUUAAACGAAUUGAUAAAUUAUUCAACUUGAUAAAAGAGAAAGCUUGUGCCAAUAUGGAAGCUGUGAGAUGAUCCAAUGAAUCUCAUUUCUUUGGAAAUCAAGAUGUAAUUAGAAACUUGGUUCGUUUAAAAAGUACAAUGGUUAAUGAUCUUGUGUGAUAUAUAAGAAAAAAGAAUUAUGAAAAAUAAUAAAAUUCUGGGUAAAAUUUUUGAGAGUUUUGGAAAGCGGAGGAAAUGGCACGCAUCGCAAUUGCGUUGAUGAUGGUAAUGCUUCAAGAAGGAAGAGACACGCGACGCGCAGGAAACGAGGAAACGUCUCUGGUGAAAGCUUUUUAGACGGAAGGAACAAAGGAGACGAGGCAAUAAUGGGCGAAAUGCCGCAGCGUUCACCGCACCGUACGAUUCUGAUCUGCAUCUGCCCGGUUAUUACCCCCUAAAUUACGCAUUGCCAGAGAAAUUUCAUACGUUGUGGCAACUUAAUGUCAUUAUUCCGAAGUACAAACCUCCUUCUCACGGAAGAAUACCACUGAUAAUGUGAUUGUAAAACACUCCAAAACGGGUAACAAGUUACGUCCUAUUGAAACGCCACUCUGACAGAUUGAUUUUUUUUUUUAAAAUUAUAAAAUCAUUAUUGAUUACCAGAAAUGUAAUAAUAAGGGAAAGGUUCUAUUUAAAAUGAAUUUUGUAAAUGCAAAUUAAAAAAAAAAAAAAGAAAUAUCAAUACAAGCAGUGUUGAUAGUCAACAAGAUCAACACAAUUUGAUUUUUCUUUUUUUUUUUAAAGUGGCGUUUCUUUAAGGCUAAAAGAGGAGAAGAAGACGAAGAAUUUUUUUUUACAUUGCGAUAAAAAACUAUAGCUUCGAAUUUUAUCUGUAACGAGUUACACAGUUAUUCGCCACAUGUAUGACAAUGAAAUAAUAAUAGGAGGUGUUGUUGCGUGACAGGUCCGAUCGUUCCGAUUAAGUUUUAACACGGAACGCGUUAGAAAUCGCGCGUUGCCGAUCAGGUGCCCACAACCUUGGCCGUAUUACGAUUUUAUUUUAUUCCGAUCCGUUGAAAAGAAUGGAGACACGGUUAAUCGCACGUAAUUGUACGCGGAUGCGUAGAUUAUUCGUAAUACGUAAUUAAGAGGAUGCAUGAGCCAACGCGCGUGUUACGAUCCGUGCGUUUCAGAGAGAAGAGAAAGGAUUUUACUUGAUAAAACGAGCGGACCGCAAAAGGAGGCUGGCUUUAUUGGCAAGCAACCGCUCUCACGGUCGGUAAAAACGACCCGCUCUCGCUUUACAAUACGAUGAAUAAUUGAUUUGCAGUUUCACUCUUUCGUCGAUUACGUAACAAUAAGGGAGGAUAAUUUAAUUACUUGUGGAUAAUCGUAGCAACGACCGGUGGCGUUUAGAUCGUCCCGUGAAAACAAAAAUGGCAAACUUUCACUCACCGAUACCUCAGAUUUUUGUUGCCAUUUUUUACUUUUUUCUUUUAUACAUAAAAUAUAAAAAAGAGAGAAAUUUUAUGAUUACAUUACUUGUUAUUCAAAAAAUAGAGAUAAAGAUUUUUCAACAAUUGGAAAAUUAAAUUGUCAACAAGUAGCUAUAGUUUAUAAAAAUUCUCUCUUAAAAAAAAAAAGAAGAAAAACCUUCAAAGUUUCACUCUCUCAAUAGAAUCAUGUUGAAUAAUAUUUUAGAAAAAUGUUUAGAUUAGUCUAGAUUAUAGUUUCGUAUCGCAAUUCAAUUUGGAGGAACGAAUUGCACCGCGACUUUUUUUACCCACUUUAGUACUUGACACAAUAACGUGACGGAAAUCGUCACACCAGCAAUAAAAUAAAGUCGUGCUUUACGCCUUUUAAACCGGC
rnacentral:lncRNA from 1 species